rnacentral:misc_RNA from 1 species
CAAGUUAUCGUCGAAACUAGUCGUUGUAAUAUUUUAAAUACCAUAAUAAAGGGUACUUCAAGUUUCAAUAUUUUUUUAUUAAUUAAAAAUUCUCUUCAACUAUAGUUUUUAAGACAAAAUGAAACGUUUUACUUUUGCUUCACUGAUUAAACUUUUCAAUAAAUUCUUCUUCUUCUUCUUCAGAAAUGUGCGGCAAUCUUAUGUCUCCUGCUAAGACCGUGUAGUGUUUGAAUCAUAUGAAAUUCAAGGUAAAAUCGUUCAGCUUUGAACAUGAGGAUGCCCUUUGUCUUAAAUAUACUUCUCUUCUGCGGAAAAGAACAGCUCUUUCUUCCUUCUAUCCAAAAUAAUGGUAAGACAAGUAGAUACAUCAACUUCAACGAUCUUCAUGAAUUGAGGUGGAAGUCAAUAACGUUCUGGCAUAAAAAGCCUUAGAUUGUUGCUGCGAUUGUUCCAAAGACCCUUCAUUGACUUUUAUUCUUCAAUAUUCGAAUUUACGAGUAGGCCUACUAAAAACGAUUGUGUUCCACUCCGCUAUCACUGGUCUUCCAUUUUUGAAGAUACAUCGUUUAAUCACAACACGAAUAUUGCCAAAAUAUACAUUUAUUUCGGGAUUAACGCUUGGAUAUUCGUAUUUUUAAAUCUGGAUUUAAAUAAAACAUAAAUUCAGCACUCUGGAUGUAGUACAUUAAAGAGAGUGAUAUACAAUAUACCUACAGAGCUCUGCUGCAGGCAAUGAAACAGCUUUCACAGUUGAACCAACAUCGCCAGUUUCAGAGAGUUUGGCGCAGAUCAAUGAAAGCAACCAACCAAGGAAAGAGAUUGAUGAUAAAAAUGCAGACUUGGAGAAAGAUG